rnacentral:rRNA from 1 species
UACGUAGGGGGCUAGCGUUGUCCGGAAUCAUUGGGCGUAAAGCGCGCGUAGGCGGCUCGAUAAGCCCGCUGUGAAAGUCCAGGGCUCAACCCUGGAAGGCCGGUGGAAACUGUCGGGCUAGAGUCCGGAAGAGGCGAGUGGAAUUCCCGGUGUAGCGGUGAAAUGCGCAGAUAUCGGGAGGAACACCAAUGGCGAAGGCAGCUCGCUGGGACGGUACUGACGCUGAGACGCGAAAGCGUGGGGAGCAAACAGG